CUGAAGCCAGCCCUGAACUGAUGAAUACUAAACUGAACAUUGCUGGAUUGUUAAAAGCAUGACCUGAGGCCCCAGCCAAGGAUGAUGUGAGAACAACAGUUGAACAGAACCAAGCAAAGUAUAAGACUUUCACAUGUAAGUGGCGGGGUGCUAAGGAACCAAAGUU